GAUGAACGCUGGCGGCGUGCCUAAUACAUGCAAGUCGAGCGAACAGACGAGGAGCUUGCUCCUCUGACGUUAGCGGCGGACGGGUGAGUAACACGUGGAUAACCUACCUAUAAGACUGGGAUAACUUCGGGAAACCGGAGCUAAUACCGGAUAACAUGUUGAACCGCAUGGUUCAACAGUGAAAGACGGUUUUGCUGUCACUUAUAGAUGGAUCCGCGUCGCAUUAGCUAGUUGGUAAGGUAACGGCUUACCAAGGCAACGAUGCGUAGCCGACCUGAGAGGGUGAUCGGCCACACUGGAACUGAGACACGGUCCAGACUCCUACGGGAGGCAGCAGUAGGGAAUCUUCCGCAAUGGGCGAAAGCCUGACGGAGCAACGCCGCGUGAGUGAAGAAGGUCUUCGGAUCGUAAAACUCUGUUAUUAGGGAAGAACAAAUGUGUAAGUAACUAUGCAUGUCUUGACGGUACCUAAUCAGAAAGCCACGGCUAACUACGUG
rnacentral:rRNA from 1 species